UGGGGAAUUUUGGACAAUGGGGGCAACCCUGAUCCAGCCAUGCCGCGUGAGUGAAGAAGGCCUUCGGGUUGUAAAGCUCUUUCGGUCGGGAAGAAAUUGCACUCUCUAAUACGGGGUGUAGAUGACGGUACCGACAUAAGAAGCACCGGCUAACUACGUGCCAGCAGCCGCGGUAAUACGUAGGGUGCGAGCGUUAAUCGGAAUUACUGGGCGUAAAGCGUGCGCAGGCGGUUGUGUAAGUCAGAGGUGAAAUCCCCGGGCUCAACCUGGGAAUGGCCUUUGAGACUGCACGGCUAGAGUGUGACAGAGGGGGGUAGAAUUCCACGUGUAGCAGUGAAAUGCGUAGAGAUGUGGAGGAAUACCGAUGGCGAAGGCAGCCCCCUGGGUUACUACUGACGCUCAUGCACGAAAGCGUGGGGAGCAAACAGG
rnacentral:rRNA from 1 species